rnacentral:lncRNA from 1 species
CUCUUAAAGCUACUUUAGCACUCAAAAUGAAAACUUGAGGUUCUUAUUCUUUGUAUUUUACGCAUUAGGAAACUGAAUUAUGAAGAGAGUGUAAUUUACCCAACAAAACACAGGCAUGGAUUUUGGAUUAAAGUGCCUUUUGAUUUUUCUUCAAAUUAAACUACAUGAAGGAUUCCUUAAAACAGUCUCAUGAUGGCCCGGCCAAUCCUGAGCUGUCCCUCCAUAAUGAAACCCUCAACAGCUUCUGCCAGACAAACUUCCAGGAAUUGGGAGAGCUAGAGAAGACUGUUUUACUCAAACAUCUCCUGCAAUGCAAGUGAGUCUGAAGGGU